AUCACACCCAAUGCACUCCUGUUGGGGCGGGCAUCAUCGAGUGGUGACUGGAAAACAUUUGUGUUUACGAGCUACCCCUAUAAGAGGCUUCAGGGAAUGCAGCACCAGGUCAACAAAUUCUGGAGGUCCUGGAGCCAACUUGCCGGCCCUAAUCUCUUCGUGAGGAGUAAAUGGCACACUACACAGAGGAAUGUUGCAGACGGAGAUAUUGUUUGGCUGUGCGACCAAAAUGCAUUGAGGGGUGAGACCUGCAACAUCAGCAUCCAGGCAUCUUGCCUCCAGCAUCUGGAGGGACGUUCAGUCCACAAUUCUUCAUCGGGACGUUCGACGAUUGGUGGUUCUGCUGCCAGUGGAGGAGCAGGCAGGAGGCCAAAAAGGGGAUCUCUGACCACAAGGUCACUGUGCGAUCUUUCCAGCGGUUCUCGUGGGAAGAUCGAGUGGGAGGUGUUGAGUUGAGUUGCAGACCGAGCCCCUCUCUGGCUGGGAGGUAGGUUUAGGUGAGUCUCUCAGGCUGGAGGCGGAGAUUUUAAUGCACCAGGUGGAGAGGAUCUGGCGAUCAGGGGAGUUGGAGUCACUCACUCACAGGACAGUGAAGAGCGAGCAGUGUGAGAAAGCGAGAUUGAAGAGCUUGGGAAGAGGAGACUGCAGGAAUAAAGCUUGCAAAGCCUGAAGAAGGAGCCGGUUUUUCACCUGGUUUGACCUGGACAAUUUUAAAAAGAAAAAGCAAGAAAGCAAAGAAGUCCGAAUCUUGGUCAUUGAGUGGAAUCCAGUCUACACUUCUUAGCAAGCUGCCCUUUCAAGUGGGGGGCUGCAGUUUGACCCUCACAAAAGUGAGACACUUGACAGUGAAAAACCGCCACUGGUGCGAAGACUGGAGCGAAGUAUCCUGAACUGCAACUGGC
ensembl:lncRNA